rnacentral:misc_RNA from 1 species
GUGGGAGGGGGCUUGCCCCCGAUGGCAGUGUGUCUGUCAGUACAUCUGACACUGACACACCGCCAUCGGGGGCAAGCCCCCUCCCAC